CUUGAAUAUGAACUUAGUGCCCUGCGUCUGUAAGAAUACAGUGGAAGUGCUGCUUAUGACCUGCCAAAGUUAGGUCAUAAAAGAUGAUAGUGUUUCCACUUGGCUCUCCUUCCUGGGAUGGGUGCACUUAGAACCCAUUCACCAUUUUGUGAAAAAGCCCAGACCAUGUAGGGAGGUUAUGUGUGAGUGUUCCACCAGAUAGCCCCAGCUGAGAGCCCACAUAACCCAGGAGAUAUUUGAGCAAGGAAAUCUUCAAGACUAUUCUAACUCCAACCUGUUUGAAGGCAACCACAUCCUGAGCCAGAACUGCCUAGGCUGAAUUUUGCUCUUGUCACCCAAGCUGGAGUGUAAUGGUGUGAUCUCAGCUCACUGCAACCUCUGCCUCCUGGGUUCAAGUGAUUCUCAUGCUUCAGCCUCCUGAGUGGCUGGGAUUACAGGAUAUUCUAAGUCUGGAAAGCACUCCCCUAAGAAAUUCAAGACAAUGGAGAAGCCUCUUGUUUGCCAGAAUUUAUUGUAGAAUGGAAAGAAAUACAAAGUGGCCUAGGGCAAUAGCUAAUUGA
rnacentral:lncRNA from 13 species